UACGGGGGGGGCAAGCGUUGUUCGGAUUCACUGGGCGUAAAGGGUGCGUAGGUGGUGAGGUAAGUCGGAUGUGAAAUCUCCGAGCUCAACUCGGAAAUGGCAUUGGAAACUACCUUGCUCGAGGGUUGGAGGGGGGACUGGAAUACUUGGUGUAGCAGUGAAAUGCGUAGAUAUCAAGUGGAACACCAGUGGCGAAGGCGAGUCCCUGGACAACUCCUGACACUGAGGCACGAAAGCUAGGGGAGCAAACAGG
rnacentral:rRNA from 1 species